ACUCCUCUUUUGCCAAUAUCUUUGUUGAAGGAUUCGACGCGAGCCGGUGGAACAAGCGAUACAGCGGAGAUGGGUAGAGAUGCGGCGGAUGAUUCCCGUGAUCUCUUACCGAUAGGUCUGCGAGAUAUGGAAGCCAUUUGAACAGAUUUGAAGCUUAGUGUGUGUGGGUAGAGAGUGAAGCUUGGUGAGGGUUUUUGAGAAUGAUUUUGCAAGAGAGAGGUUUUCCUUUUUGUAGAUGAGGAGUUAGGGUUUUGGGAAGAGGAAAGAUCAAGGGACAAUAGACACUAGGUAGAUGCAACUUACAAGGUAGUGGGAAGUUUGAAAUGUAAAUGCACACUUAAUGGGAAUUUUGAAUGUAGAUGCAUGAGAAGAUUGAAGGUUUU
rnacentral:lncRNA from 1 species